ACCAUAUUAUUGCAUCUGUCCCAUAUCACAUUAGUGACUGGCCGGGGACAGGUGCCAUCAACAAAACCGAUUUUGUUUUUUAGCAGAUAACGUGACAAUCAUCUUCCUCCUCCAACCCCCAUAGCCACUACCCCAGAAGGGAGUGGACACAAGAGAGACUCCAAGAACAUUAGAGGAGUAGAUAAAACGGGGACUGAUUGGGUCCACUGAGGAGGUACUAGCAUUCAUAUUAGAAGACAUGAACAACAAUCACUUUGAAAUAAAAAAAAAACAGUCUCAGAACCCACAUGCAAAACAUACAACACUUAGAACAGGGAUAGAGUUACCCUCAUUCUUCGCGACCGGAGAAGAACAACCUUCAAUCGUCAGAUAAAAACCCUAGGUUCAAAACCCUAGGUCCAACCGCCGGAAACCUUACUGGAAAUAGGGUUAGGGAUGUCGGAAAGUCACCCAAAAAAUCCACUAAGUAAGGAUCGAGCCUUCGGAUAGCAGUAAAACCCUAGGUUCAACCACCAGAAACCCUAGAAUCUGGAGAGUCACCGGGAAAUCACCCAAAAGUCACCGGAAAAUCACCCAAAACGUUUGAGUGAAGAAGAUAUACCCAGAUAUCACGAUGAAAGUCUCAGAUCAACAUCCGAUUUAGAUCGGAAUCGUCAUCGACCAAAUACGUCAGAAACACCCCCAAAAAUGAAAGUCUCAGAUCAACAUCCGAUUUAGAUCGGAAUCGUCAUCGACCAAAUACGUGAGAAACACCCCCAAAAAUUUCAAACGAGACUUCAACCAAGAUAACAAGAAGCAGACAAGUAUAGUCGGAUGAUCUUCUAGGCUCUGAUACCAUGAAAACAUCAAGAAAUCCAGACGAAAUCGAAGAACAAUAUGAGAGAGAGUCGGUUAGGUAGAAGCUUCCAGAGAGCUUUCAAAGAGAAAUAUAGUUGAUUCACAAAAUGAAAU
rnacentral:lncRNA from 1 species